rnacentral:lncRNA from 10 species
UCAGCUUGGAGGAGUAGAAAGAGCAUGGUCUUGAAGUCAAGCAGACUCUUUGCUCUACCUCUCUGAGCCUCGAUUUCCUUGAAGGCAAAUGAGGACAAUAAGAUGAGGAAACUGAAGCAUGGAGACUCCCAGAAUGCCGAGAAUGUAGGGAGACAACUGUACAGUCAACCUUGACCUCUCCUCCACUUUCUCCUGGCAAAUUCCUACGGAUCCUUCAAACCCCUACUCCAACAUCACCUGCUCUGGGAGCUCCCAGUCAUUGGCCAGGAUGAACUCUUAGACCUGGACAACAGGAAGAAGAAGGGAAAGAAGGGGGUGAGGGAGGCUGGCAGGGUGGGAAACGCAGGGGUGAGAGAAUAGAGAAGGAUGCAGGCCUUCCGGAGAAACCCUGAGUUGGAUCAUGGGAAGUGCAUGACGGGAAGUCCUUGGUCCUUCUUCCCAGCAGAGGUGCCUCUGUCUUGUGGCUUGUCCUGCAAAGUCCAGCUGAGCCUCCAGCUUCCUUGAGGUUGGCUCUGUGGCAUGCAAGUGAAGAGCUCCACUCCGGAGCCAAAUUGCCCUGGUUUGACUCCUGACUCUUCUGCUUACUGGCUAGGUGAUCCCAGGCAAGUUUUUUGACCCCUUUUACCUGGCUGCUUCUGGAAAUAGAAUGGGGAUAAUCAUAGUACCCACCUCAUAGAAUUGCCAUGAGGUUUCAUCAUUAAUUCAAGGUACAUAGAAAGUACUCAGUAAAUACUGACCUGGAUGAUCGAAGUCAUCUUGGAUUAUUGGUGAAGGUGCCGUCUCUUUUCUCUGAAUUCCUGUUGUGCUUAAGCCUAAACCGCACAAUUCAACCCAACACAAGUGACCGUAACAAUGACCUUUUAUGAGGUAUUUACUAGCGGGCAGGCUGUAUGCCUGGUCCUUUUUACGCAGUGUCAUAGAGAUCACCGUAACUCCAUGAGGCACAUACUAGUAAUAUGUGCAUUUUACAGGUGAGAAAAUAGAGGCCCCUUUGAAAGGUUAAAACUGUGUAUAAACUUAUAGAGCCAGUACGUGGCAGAAUGAGGAUUUGAAUCCAGGCAAUCUGACCCCGGAGCCCAUGUGAUUCUUUCUAGUUUGUUAGUCUCCCAAUACUGAUGGAUACCUACGGUAUGCCAGACACCAUGCUAGGUGCCAGGGAAAUAAAAGACACACAGUCCUGGCCCUCAGGGAACUCACAGCCUGGCAUGGGGAACACAGAUGUGGAGUCAGAUACCUGAGAACAUUGAUAACGUUGAAGGGGGAGGGCUGGAUCUGAUGUCUGCAUUGAUCUGCUAGAGGCUAUGUUUUAUUUAAUCAUAUUCUAACAAUUAUUGGGCAUAUGGUCG